rnacentral:rRNA from 1 species
CAGUCGCCACGGUAAUACGGAGGGGGCUAGCGUUGUUCGGAAUUACUGGGCGUAAAGCGUACGUAGGCGGCUUUGUAAGUUAGAGGUGAAAGCCUGGUGCUCAACACCAGAACUGCCUUUAAGACUGCAUCGCUUGAACGUCGGAGAGGUGAGUGGAAUUCCGAGUGUAGAGGUGAAAUUCGUAGAUAUUCGGAAGAACACCAGUGGCGAAGGCGGCUCACUGGACGACUGUUGACGCUGAGGUACGAAAGCGUGGGGAGCAAACAGGAUUAGAUACCCCAGUAGUCCCUGUCUCUUAUAC